GUUUGAUCCUGGCUCAGGAUAAACGCUGGCGGCGCACAUAAGACAUGCAAGUCGAACGGACUUAACCAUUAGUUUUACUAUUGGAGCGGUUAGUGGCGGACUGGUGAGUAACACGUAAGCAACCUGCCUAUCAGAGGGGAACAACAGUUAGAAAUGACUGCUAAUACCGCAUAUGCCUUGAGUAUCGCAUGGUACAAAAGGGAAAGGAGCAAUCCGCUGAUAGAUGGGCUUGCGUCUGAUUAGAUAGUUGGUGUGGUAACGGCACACCAAGUCGACGAUCAGUAGCCGGACUGAGAGGUUGAACGGCCACAUUGGGACUGAGAUACGGCCCAGACUCCUACGGGAGGCAGCAGUCGGGAAUAUUGCGCAAUGGAGGAAACUCUGACGCAGUGACGCCGCGUGCAGGAAGAAGGUUUUCGGAUUGUAAACUGCUUUAGACAGGGAAGAAACAAGACAGUACCUGUAGAAUAAGCUCCGGCUAACUACGUGCC
rnacentral:rRNA from 1 species